rnacentral:rRNA from 1 species
GACGAACGCUGGCGGCGUGCUUAACACAUGCAAGUCGAACGGAAAGGCCCUGCUUUUGUGGGGUGCUCGAGUGGCGAACGGGUGAGUAACACGUGAGUAACCUGCCCUUGACUUUGGGAUAACUUCAGGAAACUGGGGCUAAUACCGGAUAGGAGCUCCUGCUGCAUGGUGGGGGUUGGAAAGUUUCGGCGGUUGGGGAUGGACUCGCGGCUUAUCAGCUGGUUGGUGGGGUAGGGGCUUACCAAGGCUUUGACGGGUAGCCGGCCUGGGAGGGUGACCGGCCACCUUGGGACUGCGGUACGGCCCAGACUCCUACCGGAGGCAGCAGUGGGAAAUAUUGCACAAUGGGCGGAAGCCUGAUGCAGCAGCGUCGCGUGCGGGAUGCCGGCCUUCGGGUUGUAAACCGCUUUCGCCUGUGACGAAGCGUGAGUGACGGUAAUGGGUAAAGAAGCACCGGCUAACUACGUG